GCCGCCCCUCCAGGCGUUGCAGGUGUGGCUGCUGUGUCACGUGUGUCAGUAGGUAGAUGAGAGGGAGAGGCUAUGUCUAUGCUCAGUGUUCUGACCUAUGGACAUCUGAAUGAUUAGUAGCCUAAUCAU